AAGACACUAGUAAACUAGCCAUUAUACUGCCUUGUCAAGGCAGAGUAGCGGGUUAGAGCCCCGCGUGUCUUG
rnacentral:tRNA from 1 species